ACCUCAGAAAACCACAAAAAAAUCUCUCAGAAUCUCAAAAAAAACCAAAAAGUCACAAAGAACGUCAGAAAACCACAAAAAAUUUGGAAGAACCCCAAGAAAACCCAAAAAAUCUUAAAGAACCUCAAAGAAAUCCCACAAAUCCCAAAGAACCCCAGAAAACCCAAAAAAAAAAAGCCACAAAGAACCUCAGAAAAACUACAACAAAAUCCUAAAGAAUCUCAAAAAAACCCAAAAAAAUCCCAAAGAAUCUAAAAAAAAUCACAAAGAACCUCGGAAAACCACAAUAAAAUCACAAAGAACCCCCAGAAAAACCCAAAAAAUCCCAAAGAACCUCAAAAAAGAGACCCCUAAAAAGAUCCCAAAACCCAAAAAAACCCCAUUAAGAAUUGUGGGGUGCUGUUGAUGAUUUUGGGGUGCUGUGACUCAGUUUUGGGGUGGAGUUAUGGAUUUUGGGGUGCUGUUGGUAACUGUGGGGUGCUGUGACUCAGUUUUGGGGUGCUGUUGAUAAUUUUUGGGGUGCUGUGGAUGAUUUUGGGGUGCCCUGACCCGUUUUUGGGGUGCUGUUCCCGCAGCUCUCGGUGGUGGGGUACGACCCCAUUUUGGGGUGCUGGGACUCAGUUUUGGGGUGCCAUUACAGAUUUUGGGGUGCAAUUAGAGAUUUUGGGGUGCCAUUACAGAUUUUGGGGUGCUGUAGAUAGUUUUAAGGUGCUGUAGAUGAUUUUGGGGUGCCAUUAGAGAUUUUGGGGUUCCCUGACCCAUUUUUGGGGUGCUGUUCCCGCAGCUCUCGAUGGUGGAGUACGACCCCAUUUUGGGGUGCUGGGACUCAAUUUUGGGGUGCAAUUACAGAUUUUGGGGUGCUGUUGAUAGCUUUAAGGUGCCAUUACAGAUUUUGGGGUGCUGUGGAUGAUUUUUGGGGUGCCUUAACCCAUUUUUGGGGUGCUGUUCCCGCAGCUCUCGGUGGUGGAGUACGACCCCAUUUUGGGGUGCUGGGACUCAAUUUUGGGGUGCAAUUACAGAUUUUGGGGUGCUGUAGAUAGCUUUAAGGUGCAAUUACA
rnacentral:lncRNA from 1 species